rnacentral:misc_RNA from 1 species
UCUCUAUGACCCGUGAUCCUCAACGACAAUGCCUCUCCUAUUGUAAAGCUUGCCCCCUUGAAAGAUCAAAAAAUGAUGAGAUCUUGGAACCAUGCAAGGGUCACUUGAAGAGGAAAUAUAUUAAAGAAUGUUGGAGUAAAUGCGCCUGCCAUAAGCGGUGUGGCAAUCGAGUUGUGCAGCGGGGUAUAAGGUGCAAAUUGCAGGUUUUCUUUACUCCUGAAGGAAAGGGAUGGGGCCUUAGAACCCUUGAAAAGCUGCCAAAAGGGACAUUUGUGUGUGAAUACAUUGGAGAAAUACUGACCAACAAAGAGUUGCAUGAGAGAAAUGUACAGAGGACAAGAGGCACCAACAAUGAGUGGCAUACCUAUCCAGUUCUAUUGGAUGCAUAUUGGUUCUUGAAAGGAGCUUUGAAGGAGGAAGAAGCUCUUUGUUUGGAUGCAACAUU